rnacentral:piRNA from 1 species
UGUGACCUUUUGUUGAGAUUAUCAAAUGGC